rnacentral:rRNA from 1 species
AUGGCCGGCCCAGCCCACGAAUUUUUUCUUCCAAAAUCAACAUACAGUCACACCACGCACACAUCAGCCAAAUCCCUAGCUUUCCUUCGUACGCAUUCGUUCCCCAUGCCGGUCAAUAUCCGCGCCGCCGCCUCCACACCGGCCGAUCUCCGCGCCGCCGCCUCCACGCCGGUCGAUCUCCACGCCUCCGCCCCCACGCCGGUCGAUCCACACGCCUCCCACCGCCGCCCGACGACGACCGGGGCUUCCUCCAAUCGAUCCCCACCCCGCCCACCACCGCCCAACGCCAUCGAUCUUGCCCCUCCGGCCGUGGUGAAGCACUCCCCAGAGGCACUGCUGCUCGUGGUGUCCAACCCCGUCGACGUCCUCACCUACCUCGCCUUGAAGCUUCCAGGGCUUCCUCCAAUCGAUCCCCAUCCCGUCCCACCGCCGCCCAAUGCCAUAGAUCUUGCCCCUCCGGUCGUGGUGAAGCACUCCCUGGAGGCACUGCUGCUCGUGGUGUCCAACUCCGUCGACGUCCUCACCUACCCCGUCGACGUUCGAGGUGAGCGGCGUCAUCUGCUCUGGUACCAACCUCGAUGUCUCCAGGAUCUGGCCGCCACAGUCGAUGCAGCAGCUAGCAGCAAGGCCCAUUGUCAUCACCGCGCAUCCCAGGUUCAUCUGCUUGCUGCUGUUUCGGCCAUCGCUGAAACCAACCAGGAGUUAGUGGCCUCAAAGCACCAAGGUAUAAUAAGCUUUCUUCUUCAUAGGUCAUCACUUCCUAAUCCUAGUUCAGUUCACUACAUAAUCCUAGUUCACUUCAUAGGUCAUCACUUUGUAAUCCUAGUUCAGUUCACUUCAAUAUUCCUUUUAUUUUAG